GUACUUGCUUCUACAGCACACAUACUGAAAUUGAGACAAUGCAGAGACUGCCAUGGACCCUGAGCAAAGAUGACAUACAAAUUCACCAAAAAUUCCAUUUUUUA